CCGAUAUAGCUCAGUUGGUAGAGCAUCUCAUUCGUAAUGAGAGGGUCGUAGGUUCGAGUCCUAUUAUCGG
rnacentral:tRNA from 1 species